rnacentral:snoRNA from 8 species
AAGACUAUACUUUCAGGGAUCAUUUCUAUAGUUCGUUACUUGAGAAAUGUGUGUCUAAAGUGGUAGGUCUCGCUCUCCAUGAUGACGAUUCAAGAUAUUCCCAUUCAGAGCAUGAAUUCUGGUGGCUAGAAAUGACCUUUGCUCAUGUUUCUUCAACCUUUGAUGAUCUUUUCCUUGUUCUUCAAUGAACAUGCAUGAAGGGAAUAUGUUUCUGAGUGGA